rnacentral:rRNA from 1 species
CCUACGGGGGGCUGCAGUCGAGAAUCUUCGGCAAUGGGCGCAAGCCUGACCGAGCGACGCCGCGUGCGGGAUGAAGGCCUUCGGGUUGUAAACCGCUGUCGAGGGGAAUGAAGUGCAGGUGGGUUCUCCCAUCUGUUUGACAGAUCCCUGGAGGAAGCAUGGGCUAAGUUCGUGCCAGCAGCCGCGGUAAGACGAACCAUGCAAACGUUAGUCGUUUACACUGGGCUUAAAGCGUUUGUUGGUCAGGUGGGAAAGCCCUCAGCCCAACUGAGGAAUUGCGCUUGAUACUGCAUGACUAGAGAAUGAUAGAGGUGGGUGGAACUGAUGGUGGAGCGGUGAAAUGCGUUGAUAUCAUCAGGAACACCAGUGGCGAAGGCGACCCACUGGGUCAUUUCUGACGCUGAGGUACGAAAGCUAGGGUAGCGAACGGGAUUAGAUACCCCAGUAGUC